AAACACGUUUCCAUUUCAGAUUCUAAAGAAAGCGGUGAAAGGAAAAUCAAAGUGAUCGCUUCAGGACGAGAUGAUGACUCAGCGGAGAAUGAGAGUGCACCUGAUACUAAAGAUUCUGCACAAAGAACAAGUCACUCAGAGGCUCGAGGUAUUGAU